rnacentral:rRNA from 1 species
GCGGUGAAAUGCGUAGAUAUCGAGAGGAACACCUGCGGCGAAGGCGGGUUGCUGGGCUGACACUGACGCUGAAGCGCGAAAGCUAGGGGAGCGAACGGGAUUAGAUACCCCGGUAGUCCUAGCCUUAAACGAUGAAUGCUUGGUGUCUGGGGUUUUAUAGUCCCCGGGUGCCGUCGCUAACGCUUUAAGCAUUCCGCCUGGGGAGUACGGUCGCAAGACUGAAACUCAAAUGAAUUGACGG